rnacentral:rRNA from 1 species
GUCAGCCGCCGCGGUAACACCGGCGGCCCGAGUGGUGAUCGUGAUUAUUGGGUCUAAAGGGUCCGUAGCCGGUUUGGUCAGUCCUCCGGGAAAUCUGAUAGCUCAACUAUUAGGCUUUCGGGGGAUACUGCCAGACUUGGAACCGGGAGAGGUAAGAGGUACUACAGGGGUAGGAGUGAAAUCUUGUAAUCCCUGUGGGACCACCUGUGGCGAAGGCGUCUUACCAGAACGGGUUCGACGGUGAGGGACGAAAGCUGGGGGCACGAACCGGAUUAGAUACCCGGGUAGUCCCAGCCGUAAACGAUGCUCGCUAGGUGUCAGGCAUGGCGCGACCGUGUCUGGUGCCGCAGGGAAGCCGUGAAGCGAGCCACCUGGGAAGUACGGCCGCAAGGCUGAAACUUAAAGGAAUUGGCGGGGGAGCACAACAACGGGUGGAGCCCUGCGGUUUAAUUGGACUCAACGCCGGACAACUCACCGGGGGCGACAGCAAUAUGUAGGCCAAGCUGAAGACUUUGCCUGAAUCGCUGAGAAGAGGUGCAUGG